AACAACGCAGUAAAUAAAACAAAACAGUUGUGCUGUCUGAAUUCCUUUCCAUUCCCUGCAGAGGAUCCACUGGUGAGCAAGUGACAUUAAACAAAAUUUCAAUGAAGAAACAAACUCAUCUGAUGCCUUGAUGGGACUGCUUGGAGGCCUCGACAGAAUCCACAUGAUUCCCAGUGCAUGAGAUGGUGCUGAAGGGGAAGCUAAUCCUCACCCUGUCAUCUCCCCCAAAACUUCCACUUCCAGAUGUUUCCUGUAUUGUCACUCAUGUCUGCUUAUACGAGGGCCAAAAGGCUUUAGUAUGAAGUUUACAUUGUCUGAAAUGUCUUCUCUUUGAAUUUUGAAGCUCAUCACUCUGGAAAACAUCAUAAUUAGGGUCUUUUCACCCAUUAGUAGCAUUGGUUUACAUUGUACAACAACCCAUUACACUCUGUUUGGCUAAUAAAAACUGGCGCU
ensembl:lncRNA